rnacentral:sRNA from 1 species
GCCAGGUGUGGUGGCUCACGCCUGUAAUCCCAGCAUCCUGGGAGGCUGAGGCAGGAGGAUCGCGAGUUCAAAGCCACCCUCAGCAACAGUGAGGCACGAAGCACUCAGUGAGACCCUGUCUCUA